UUCCUGUGUCACCUUAUGCCUGUACCUCUUUACCUGUCCUACAGGUUUCUCCAGUUAGCCACUGCUUUUCAAAGGCCUGCACAGUAUCCCUCUUGACUUCCUGCUCGAUGGAUUCUAACCAAUCUCAGCUACUUUGAGUCAUCAACCAUAUGGCAGAGUCUGCAGACUAUCCAUGUCCUACUUAACUGAAGAUGGAGCUUGAGAUAUGGCAAUGAAGCAGCCAGCCUUGACCUUGACUAAGUUGAGUUUUGGGCAGAAAUAAGAAUUGAGGUUCCAGCUGAGUCUGUGCUCAACUCUUCGGUGAUCGCUACCAAGCAACUGAGACCUCACUUGACCCUCACCAGGAUGAGGAAACCUUUGAGACACGGCCUGAAGAGCCUCGCUAUAAAUUAUCUUAAAAUAAAACCCUAUAAAUAAGCUUCUCCUUGAAGCCUCCACUCCCUACAAGUGACUUGGCUUGACCCUUCCACCUGAAGACUCGCCCUGCCGCGGGGCUGGCAUCAAUCCUGUCCUUGGUCAAACAGAACUAUUUGAGAAGCGUUAAUUCUCUA